CAUAUGGAUCAAUCAUAUCAGGAAUGCAACAGCUGUUAUCUAAGUUUCAUUCAACAUCAUCGAAUCUUGACGAUCUUAACAGUGGUCCAUGUGUGGAUGGAUUCAUUUACCGAAAGACAAUGGUAUUAUGGUGCUCAUCACAUUGGUAUACGGGCGGCUUCUUAAGCAACAGUAAAAUCAUUAGUUUAAUCAAUACGGAUGCUGAAAAAAUUGGAGACUUCUGCUGGUAAAUCCAUGGAAUUUGGUUGGUUGCUUCCUGGCCCUCAUCAUCUUCAGAGCAAAAUCAACCCUCUCUCUAGUAAUAUGGAUCCUUUGCAACAGCACUUGGAUAAAGAGAUUUGGAAGGAUCUCAACAAGCAUAAUCUCACAAUGAUAGUGAAUCAAGAUCAGAGGCUUCUUGGUGCACCAGGUGUAGAAAUUAGUAAGACGUUGCAAUAUAACUCCUAGUUUCUUUUACUCUCUCUUUAUCAAAAUUUACCAUCUAUCUUUUAUUGCUAAUUGGGUUUUUCAUUCUGGAAUCAGUGCAAGGUUGCAGUUGCGGAAGAUAGAGAAAAUUGGAGCAUUGGACAGCUCAAAGCUGUACCAGUUCUACUUCAUUUUUUGCUUCAAAACUAGGACAUUUUUCUAAAUCUCACAGACCCACCAUGUGUAAAUCACCAAUGCCUCCUUGUCAUCACCUGUAAUGUCAUCAUCUCAAUUUUGAACCUUGGUUUUGGUUUUUAUGAAUACUGGAAUCAUAGACUUAUCACUAGCAAAUCUGUGUUCUUAGUCAUGACUUGGGUAUUAGCAACUUUAGUUAUAGUCUUUUCAAAGAAUAGAACACUAAGUGAAGACAUAAGGUGGCCAUUAAUCCUUAUCCUCUUGUGGAUCUUUUCCUUCAUCUUUGAUUCAGAUUCUCUCUUUACAAAAUCACCCAUUUGAAAUCAAUUGAUUUGCCAAGUCCUUUGCCAGAACCAAACAUAUUUGAUUUUGCUACCUUUCCUUUGGCAAUACUGCUUUGUUUCAAUGCUUUUCCUACUAGUUGUACUAGGAAACACAAUGACAUAGUAGAACCUACACAGCAAACAGAAGUUGAAAGUUCCUCUGGUGAUGCUGAUGCAUUCUUUAAUUGAAAUCCAAAAUCCACUAUGGUCUGAUUCAUGCAACCAUUUUCUUCUUUGCAAAGACAGUGGAGUUCCUUACUCAAAGAUAAUGGACUAUCGGUGCUCAGCACAUCAGUGUAUGAGUACGAGCAACUCUAAUGGUAUUGAUUUACAAGAAAACUCUAUCAAUUA